AGUACCUGCCCGUCUAUGCCCACAACCGAACAUCAAUCUGAGAGUGCGCACCUCCCACCUUCACCUUAUCCGCCGCCACGACGCUGCCCAUCUAUGCCGCCGCCGGGCCAGCUCAGCCUGCACCUCUGCGCCGCCUAGUCCCCCCCGCCAAUCUCCACCGCGGCGGGCUGCCAUUCCUCCGAUUAUGGCGCCGCCGUGCUAGCACCUCCUGCAUCCGGCAAGGAGAAGGGAUCAGGGGCGCCACCGUCGGCAAUGUUGUACAUGCGUGGGGUUCAGUAAUUUCAGCAACGUCGCCGGUAGCUUCUCGUCUAACACAUAGCCGAUUAAGUGGGCGAUGGAUCGAGGUUGGAUGAGUCAACCAAGAACUAGUGUUGCUUACAAAGAUGGUGUCGGGCAAUUUCUGUCUUUUGCAUUCCAUGAUGUUCCAGCUGGUGAUAGAAUUAUCUGUCCUUGUGUAAAUUGCUGAAAUAAAGCUAGAGGAUGAGUUUGGGUUCAUUCUUGUGAACAAGUCUCGGGAAAUACACACAGGAGAUCAGUUAGAGGAUGAUCCUUUUGUAUUUUCUUCCCAAGUGCAGCAGGUUUUCUAUGUUCAAGAUCCAAAAGCUGAAUUAUGGAAUGUAGUAGUGGAAGUCAGGCCUCGUGACCUUUUUGACAUGGGUGAUGAAGAAUCAUCAGAUGAAACAGAUUAGAGCAUUGUGCUUUUGGGGUGUGUUUGGUUCAGGAAUGAAGUGUAAUGGAAUGUCAUGGUUCCGUUCUACUAGAAUGGGUCGGUUCCAUCUCUGUGUUUGGUAGAAGCAAUUCAAAGGAAUGGAAUUGUUAUAUUUUGA